AGUCGAACGGCAGCGAGGAGAAGCUUGCUUCUCUGUCGGCGAGUGGCGAACGGGUGAGUAUAGCAUCGGAACGUGCCAAGUAGUGGGGGAUAACCAAACGAAAGUUUGGCUAAUACCGCGUAAGCUCCAAGGAGGAAAGUAGGGGACCUGAAUAAGGCCUUACGCUAUUUGAUCGGCCGAUGUCGGAUUAGCUAGUUGGUGGGGUAAUGGCUCACCAAGGCAAUGAUCCGUAGCGGGUCUGAGAGGACGAUCCGCCACACUGGGACUGAGACACGGCCCAGACUCCUACGGGAGGCAGCAGUGGGGAAUUUUGGACAAUGGGGGAAACCCUGAUCCAGCCAUGCCGCGUGUAUGAAGAAGGCCUUAGGGUUGUAAAGUACUUUUGUUAGGGAAGAAAAGCUAGUUUUUAAUAAAAAUUAGUGAUGACGGUACCUAAAGAAUAAGCACCGGCUAACUACGUGCCAGCAGCCGCGGUAAUACGUAGGGUGCAAGCGUUAAUCGGAAUUAUUGGGCGUAAAGCGAGUGCAGACGGUUACUUAAGCCAGACGUGAAAUCCCCAAGCUUAACUUGGGACGUGCAUUGGAACUGGGUGACUAGAGUGUGUCAGAGGGAGGUAGAAUUCCACAUGUAGCGGUGGAAUGCGUAGAGAUCUGGAGGAAUGCCGAUGGCGAAGGCAGCCUCCUGGGAUAACACUGACGUUGAGGCUCGAAAGCGUGGGGAGCAAA
rnacentral:rRNA from 1 species